UUGGUUGCAAAAAGAAAAAGUCUCUCUUGCUGCCACUCUGCUUCCCCCACCCCCGCUGAGGCGACCCUGAUGCCAUCGUGCACAACUUCAUCUCACAGCGCAGGCGCCCCAGCGGGGGCUGCGUGCAGUGCCUGAGCCUCCCGCUCAGCCCUGCCAUCAGGGUUUCCUCUGGCUCGCCUUCUUGCGCUUCCGUCAUCAACCUUGUGGACUCGACAUAGGUGGUGACCGAGCGGAAGAUGCUGAGUGGCUGGGAUGCGGCUGGCAAUGAGCGCGGGCUCAGGGGCAAUUUCUUUGUAUUUAUCUCCCUAGGUUCGCCAAAUUAAAGUUGAGUGUUGUACACAAGUUACUAAUUGUUGCUGCCUCAGUCUACAGCUUGACGGCGCAAGGCAUCGCUCACACCAGCGUGGCCUCCCGUGCUCCUAGCCUCGACCCUCCUUGCCUCCUAGCUGUGAGGAUGUGAUUGCAGUGGCUUGAUCCUUGCGGCCCCGUCAAGGAGGAGCAGUAGGCGUGAACUCCACCAUGGGCAUUCUCGCUCCUCAUCGACCUUGAUAUUGUUACCUCCAUUGUGAAGCCCAACGUAAACAGGAUGAAUGCGAGCUUGCUGGCGGGAGCAACCUCGGUAAGAGCAGGGAAGGUGCCAGGCUAGAACCACACAUUUAUCGUUUGGUUGCGUGAGCAGGUUUACGAGAGGCAUCUCCGAGUGAAAAUUCCAGUCAGUUUUCUCCAUAUAUCUAAAGCCACAAUAAGCACCCUAAGAGGAUUUGGUAUGAUGGUACUUGGGUAACUCGUUAUUAUGUUCAGAAACCAGAAUAAUGGCUUCCACUUCGUGUUAGCAAAGGCGCGGGACAAGGAAUCAACCACCACAAACUCCUCAUGUACGUCGUCAAACAUCGUUUGCAUCCGCGCUCGAAGCUUUCAAUCUCAUUGUUCCGCCGAGUCUGCCGAAACAUCGUCUGCACGUGCUCCAUCCAAGGUACCCCAUUUUCCAAUUCUAUAAUCAGGUUUGCACUUUAAACUAAUGACUUCAUGGUGUAAGGAAGAUGUAAUUUUGAAACGUGAGUGUUUCUUUGCAUUGAAAAGAUAGAGGUUUAGGGGAAAAUGUCAGGGAAAGAAAUGUGGAAUUAGUCUUUUUGUUACUAUCUUUGCAUUAAGAAUAGGGAAAAAUGACAGGGAAAGAACAAUAAGCAAA